UGGCGGGAUCUGAGGCGCCCCAGAGGAAGCAACCGCUAACUUCGUGCCAGCAGCCGCGGUAAUACGAAGGUUGCGAGCGUUGUUCGGAAUCACUGGGCUUAAAGCGCAUGUAGGCGGCUCAUCAAGUGCCUUGUGAAAUCCCACGGCUCAACCGUGGAAUUGCUUGGUAUACUGUUCGAGCUUGAGGCAGGUAGAGGCACGUGGAACUCUUGGUGGAGCGGUGGAAUGCGUAGAUAUCAAGAGGAACGCCGGUGGCGAAAGCGGCGUGCUGGGCCUGUCCUGACGCUGAGAUGCGAAAGCCAGGGGAGCAAACGGGAUUAGAUACCCCGGUAGUCCUGGCCCUAAACGAUGUCUACUAGGUCGAAGGCACUCUGACGUGUUUUUGGCCGAAACAAAAGCGUUAAGUAGACCGCCUGGGGAGUACGGUCGCAAGGCUAAAACUCAAAGGAAUUGACGGGGGCUCACACAAGCGGUGGAGCAUGUUGCUCAAUUCGAUGCAACGCGAAGAACCUUAUCCUAGGCUUGACAUGCAGGAAUGGCUUACUGGAAACAGUGUAGUCUGCCCGCAAGGGUGAAAUCUGCACAGGUGCUGCAUGGCUGUCGUCAGCUCGUGUCGUGAGAUGUCGGGUUAAGUCCCUUAACGAGCGAAACCCUUGUCGCUAAUUGCCAGCGGGUAAUGCCGGGAACUUUAGCGAGACUGCCGGUGUCAAACCGGAGGAAGGUGGGGAUGACGUCAAGUCCUCAUGGCCUUUAUGCCUAGGGCUGCAAACGUGCUACAAUGGCGCAUACAAACCGACGCAAGACCGCGAGGUGGAGCAAAUCGGAAAAAGUGCGCCCCAGUUCGGAUUGGAGUCUGCAACCCGACUCCAUGAAGUUGGAAUCGCUAGUAAUCGCGGAUCAGCUACGCCGCGGUGAAUGUGUUCCUGAGCCUUGUACACACCGCCCGUCAAGUCAUGGGAGCUGGGAGCACCCGAAGUCGGACCAAUUCAGGUCUGCCGAAGGUGAGCUCGGUGACUGGGACUAAGUCGUAACA
rnacentral:rRNA from 1 species